rnacentral:rRNA from 1 species
AGGGUUUGAUCAUGGCUCAGAUUGAACGCUGGCGGCAGGCCUAACACAUGCAAGUCGAACGGUAACAGAAAGAAGCUUGCUUCUUUGCUGACGAGUGGCGGACGGGUGAGUAAUGCUUGGGAAUUUGCCUUGAGGUGGGGGACAACAGUUGGAAACGACUGCUAAUACCGCAUAAUUGCUACGGCACAAGGGGGCUCCGGCUCUCGCCUUUAGAGAAGCCCAAGUGGGAUUAGAUAGUUGGUGGGGUAAUGGCCUACCAAGUCAACGAUCCCUAGCUGGUCUGAGAGGAUGAUCAGCCACACUGGAACUGAGACACGGUCCAGACUCCUACGGGAGGCAGCAGUGGGGAAUAUUGCACAAUGGGGGAAACCCUGAUGCAGCCAUGCCGCGUGUGUGAAGAAGGCCUUCGGGUUGUAAAGCACUUUCAGCGAGGAGGAAGGGUUAGUAGUUAAUACCUGCUAGCUUUGACGUUACUCGCAGAAGAAGCACCGGCUAACUCCGUGCCAGCCGCCGCGGUAAUAC